rnacentral:rRNA from 1 species
AAGGGAAUAUUACUUAAUGGGCGAAAGCCUGAAGCAGCAACGCCGCGUGGACGACGAAGGCCUUAGGGUUGUAAAGUUCUUUUAUAUGGGAUGAGGAAGGACAGUACCAUAUGAAUAAGUCUCGGCUAACUACGUGCCAGCAGCCGCGGUAAAACGUAGGAGACGAGCGUUAUCCGGAUUUACUGGGAGUAAAGAGCGUGUAGGAGGCAAUACAAGUUGGAUGUAAAAGCUCUCGGCUAAACUGAGAGAGGACGUUCAAGACUGUAGAGCUAGAGGAAGGCAGAGGUAGAUGGAACUCCGGGAGUAGAGGUGAAACGCGUAGAUAUCCGGAAGAACACCAGAGGCGAAAGCGAUUUACUGGGCCGCAACCGACACUGAGACGCGAAAGCCAGGGUAGCAAACG